UACGUAGGGUGCAAGCGUUAAUCGGAAUUACUGGGCGUAAAGCGUGCGCAGGCGGUUAUGUAAGACCGGUGUGAAAUCCCCGGGCUUAACCUGGGAACUGCAUUUGUGACUGCAUAGCUAGAGUACGGUAGAGGGGGAUGGAAUUCCGCGUGUAGCAGUGAAAUGCGUAGAUAUGCGGAGGAACACCGAUGGCGAAGGCAAUCCCCUGGGCCUGCACUGACGCUCAUGCACGAAAGCGUGGGGAGCAAACAGG
rnacentral:rRNA from 1 species